UCUUCAGUGAGGUACAUCCUUACCUGUUACUCUCUAAGGAGAGUAUCAGAUCAUGAUGAAUGGAGAAACAUGAGAUAUGAUUAAUAUCUCCGUCUUGUAGGGAACUGCAACACCCUACAAGAUCCAUUCUGAU